rnacentral:sRNA from 2 species
GCUCCCGUCAUUGGGGAGUAGCCGCCCUCAUCGCAGAGGGGGCCGCGUCAACAGACUUGGGGCCUUGCGUCCCAUGGCGCGGACAGUCCACCGCUCCGCGUGGACC